CACGCAGGCGGUCGUGUACGUGGGGUGUGAAAGCGCUCGGCUCAACUGAGCGAGGCCACCUCAUACGGCACGGCUCGAGCCCGUGAGAGGUCCACGGAAUUGCCGGUGUAGUGGUGAAAUGCGUAGAGAUCGGCAGGAACACCCAGGGGGGAAACCAGUGGACUGGCACGGUGCUGACGCUCAGGUGCGAAAGCGUGGGGAGCGAACC
rnacentral:rRNA from 1 species